GGAAUGGCUAAUGUUUAUUACAAGGAGGGAGCUGGUAGCGCUGCCGGCUCCCUCCUUGUAUUUUUUUUGCACAUGCGCAGUGCUAUUUUCGUUGAAAUUUUUAUUUAGUAGACAUGUGCAAUUCAUUUUGGUCUGAAUUUAAAUUCUGCCAAAUUUCAGUAAUUCGGCUGACUUUCGGAAGUGCCGAAGUGCUUUGGAUUUCUGAAAAGUGACAAAACAGGAGAGGGAGGGAAUGAUGACAGAAAUCUAACCCUAAACCUACCCUAACCCUACUUCUACCCCUAGCCCUAACCCUUGCCCCAACCUUCCUCUAACCUGAACCCUAACUCUUACCCCAACCUUCCCCUAACCUUAGGUAAUUGCCGAUGUCCCGAACUUAGGAAAUACCGAACAAAAUUUUUUGCCCAUGCACAUCCUUAUUAUUUAGUACGAAAUCAUUCGUACAAAACGAAAAUAUUUCACUGGUGCAUAUGUCUAAAAUCUAUCGACUCAAGAAGGUGUAUAAGUUAAUAGACUUGGUCAGAAAUACUCUAAAGAUUCCGGAAGAGAAAACUGAAACAUCUGCAUCUGACAUAUAAUUUGAGGACCUAUGAGCUUCAAAUUCUACUUUUCCUAUCCAUACUACUAUUAAAGAUCGUAUCCAUCCAGAACAAAUAUUGUCCAUUCAAUCUAAGGCAGCAAAAAUAUACACCUUUUGUCCAAAGGAGUCUAAACUUUGGAGUAUUGUUCCUAAGGUAGAUACUUCAGUCAAGGCUUGCAAAAGAGACUAUAAUCCAUAAUAAAAGCAUGGCAUAUCCGAAUUUUAUAUUUCUCUUGUCAUCCAGAGAAAGUAGUUUGUAUUGUACUUUAUAUUAUACUUAAAUGUUUAUAUUAUACUUUAAUGUUUCACAGACAGACAAACGCUGUUAUAUUAUUUCACUGGAAUAGGAAUUACAUGCGUCUUUUACCUUUGGAAUUUUUGGUUCGCUACAAUGAAUAAGUGUUAGUAGACAACUGCUGCAGCAAUCAGAGUCCCCAAACAAUGUUUAAAAUGCUACAUUGAUGUACUGUAUUUCACUGCAUUUAUAUAAAUGUGUUG